AGUGAACGCUGGCGGUAGGCCUAACACAUGCAAGUCGAACGGCAGCACAGUAAGAGCUUGCUCUUACGGGUGGCGAGUGGCGGACGGGUGAGGAAUACAUCGGAAUCUACUUUUUCGUGGGGGAUAACGUAGGGAAACUUACGCUAAUACCGCAUACGACCUACGGGUGAGAGCAGGGGAUCUUCGGACCUUGCGCGAUUGAAUGAGCCGAAGUCGGAUUAGCUAGUUGGCGGGGGAAAGGCGCACCAAGGCGACGAUCCGUAGCUGGUCUGAGAGGAUGAUCAGCCACACUGGAACUGAGACGCGGCCCAGACUCCUACGGGAGGCAGCAGUGGGGAAUAUUGGACUAGGGGCGCAAGCCUGAUCCAGCCAUACCGCGUGGGUGAAGAAGGCCUUCGGGUUGUAAAGCUCUUUUGUUGGGAAAGAAAAGCAGCAGGUUAAUACCCCGCUGUUCUGACGGUACCCAAAGAAUAAGCACCGGCUAACUUCGUG
rnacentral:rRNA from 1 species